UAGCUAACAGAUUGUAGAGCAAUGGCGGUUAAAUUACAGAUGUUGGGGUUUUAUGUCUUCAUUCAUAAUUUCGUUUUAAGUCUUGGCAAUUCAGAUGUGCAGUGGUAGAA